ensembl:snRNA U4 U4 spliceosomal RNA
AGCUUUGCAUAGCGGCAGUAUUGUAGCCAAUGAGGUUUAUCCGAGGUAUGAUUAUGGCUGAUUUAAAACUUUUCCAAUACCCUGCUGUGACAACUUGCAAUACAAUCAGCACUGGCAAUUUGUAGAGACUGUCAAAAAG